rnacentral:lncRNA from 1 species
GUGUUGAGCUGUGGAAAGAAGAGUCCAAGAAGCUAUGGCACAUAGCUGGUCCUUCUAUUUUUACCAGGGUCACAUCCUACAGCAUGAAUAUUGUUACUCAAGCUUUUGCUGGUCACCUUGGUGACCUUGAGCUUGCUUCCAUUUCCAUUGGCAACACUGUUGUUCUUGGUUUCAAUUUUGGACUCAUUGUAAGUUGUCUUAUUUGCUUUUGCUGCUAUAACAUAUCUGUUUUGUCGGGAAAUGAUAUAUGGAGACUACUAUUUUAUUGAAGACUCGGAGACCAUACAUGUUGUGCAAGCAAAAUAUGUUUUGAAUAACCAUAAUAUUUAGUUGUUGUGCAAAAAGCUUGAAUGCUAUGAUUUUCUAAUCUCAGACUCUGAAAAUUAUAAGCAUAUAUAAUUGUGUGUGCCAAUAUAGAAAAGGCAUAAGCUUCUGAAUAGUAUACUUCAUAUAUCAUCUGCACAUUACCAUAUCAGGGAAGUAGGUUGUGCUUUAUAGAAAUUCAUGAUCAAUGAAUCGCAUAGUAUAAACGUUGUUUUCUGACAAUAUUUGAAGGUGUAUUAAUAAGAAAUUGUUGGUUUUGUGCAAUUCAAGUUAGGAAUGGCAAGUGCAUUAGAGACUCUCUGUGGUCAAGCUUUUGGAGCAAAAAAGCACCACAUGUUGGGAAUAUACCUACAAAGAUCAUGGAUUGUUCUCUUCUUCUGUUGUGUCUUGUUGUUGCCGAUAUAUAUAUUUACUACCCCGNGUCCAUCAUUAUUAAUUAAAUUAUAUAUACGAGUCUCUUGUCAUUAUUCAAAGUUACGAUCAAUAAAAGUGUCAUUUUGUAUACUCAAUCAUUUUCCUUAGAUCCCACCUUAUUCCAAAAAAUUUAUGUGGCCUCUGUUCAUAUUACACUUAUAUUAACACAAACAAAUUUACAUCUGCACCUCUCAUUCUUGCUUGUACCAGAAAAGAGGAGUGAAAAUAAACAUGGAGGAAGGGAAAGCUGAAAAUCUGACAGAGAGCUUGCUAGGAGAAGAAGCAAGAAGUGUAGGGGAAGUUGGCAUAAAAUGGACAAGUGUUGAGCUGUGGAAAGAAGAGUCCAAGAAGCUAUGGCACAUAGCUGGUCCUUCUAUUUUUACCAGGGUCACAUCCUACAGCAUGAAUAUUGUUACUCAAGCUUUUGCUGGUCACCUUGGUGACCUUGAGCUUGCUUCCAUUUCCAUUGGCAACACUGUUGUUCUUGGUUUCAAUUUUGGACUCAUUGUAAGUUGUCUUAUUUGCUUUUGCUGCUAUAACAUAUCUGUUUUGUCGGGAAAUGAUAUAUGGA